rnacentral:rRNA from 1 species
UACGUAGGGUGCGAGCGUUAAUCGGAAUUACUGGGCGUAAAGCGUGCGCAGGCGGUUUUGUAAGCCAGAUGUGAAAUCCCCGGGCUCAACCUGGGAAUUGCGAUGGAGACUGCAAGGCUGGAGUCUGGCAGAGGGGGGUAGAAUUCCACGUGUAGCAGUGAAAUGCGUAGAGAUGUGGAGGAACACCGAUGGCGAAGGCAGCCCCCUGGGUCAAGACUGACGCUCAUGCACGAAAGCGUGGGGAGCAAACAGG